rnacentral:lncRNA from 1 species
GUGGCACCCAGGACUGUCUUCCCUCCUUGGUGGAGACAUAGUCCCCUUGUCGAGUAGGGGAGAACCCUAGAGCUCCAAGUCACUCCGAGGACGCAGCAGCCAGGAAACCGCGAGGCUGUCAUCCCUGCUGUCCUGGAGGAGGGCCCCUGUGCAGCCCCAUCCUCUGGAGAUGGCCUCUCAUGGAGGAGGUUGGGAACAAAGGCCUGGCAUGUGCUGGGCCUGUCUUUCCACAGGAGGGAAGAAGCCUGCCCUGUGUUUGCACCGGGCCAGUGAGCCAUGGGCAGACAAGGCCGCUCCCUCCUGCUUGUGUUAUCAUCGCAGAUGGCAAGGUGGAGUGAAGUGGGGGAUGGAGCUAGAGGACGCCGACUUUCAGUACCAGUGGAGCCACAGUUAGCCCUGUUGUCUGUCGGCCCUUCCAGCCUGGUCUUUCCAGAGGGUAGGCACCAUUGUCUGAACACUCAACUCAUACGAAAUAGCUCUUUUCUUCCUCUGAGGAAAUCACAGGACUCUCUUUCCUCCUUAUGUUGGUACUCUCAGAAACCCAGUUCAAGCUGUCUAGACAGCAUGCAUGGAACCCGGGGCUCCUGUAAAUGGGAGGGUGCUGGUGUCAGGCAUGGCUGGCCCUGGGAGUGCAGACAGGCCCACCAGGCCUCUGCCAGCUCUGUGGGUCUCGCUUAGCCUCAUUCUGUGUGCCGGCUCUCUUUCCACUUGCCCCAGCCAUUGGUCCACACCUGUUUGGUCAGGAGGCCAUUCCUCAAACCAGUAGCCAUUAUCAGAGGGACAGCACCCUGUGAUUGGCCCAGCAGUAGAGCACCACUCGCAACUUGAAUGGAGCAGGUUGCUGGGGAGACUUUCCUAUCAUGCCCAUUAAGCCUCCCCUGUGUUUGCCCUUGGCCCUGCCUGUGCAAGCACUGGCCAUGGGCGUCUGUGGGGGCAGGACACACGUAAGACAAGCACUGUGAGCUCUCCUGAGAGUCCCUCCAGCCUCCUCCUCCCCCAACAAAACUCCAGCCACAGAGACCGUGGAUCUGUGUCAGCAGCUGAAACCUAUGAUCUUUUCAGAUUUUAGAAUUUCAAGAAAAACACAGGAAGAGAUUGUUAGCCUUCUAUAGAGAAAAGAUUUCUAGGUUGGAAGAAUCCCUUAGGAAGUCAGUGCUGCAGAUAGAACAACUACAAAGGUAAGGCGCCCCACCCCCCGUGAGUGCGCAGUCGAGGCACCCACUGCCAUGUGCAUUGGUCGUCUGGCUCUCCAAGAUCAAGAAUGAAAGAUGACUGCAGAUGCAGAGGGAAGAGCUCGUUCAUUUACCAGAAACUUUCAUCAGAGCAAAAAUGCUGUGGG